AACGAACACUGGCGGCAGGCUUAACACAUGCAAGUCGAGCGCCCCGCAAGGGGAGCGGCAGACGGGUGAGUAACGCGUGGGAAUCUACCCAUCUCUACGGAAUAACGCAUGGAAACGUGUGCUAAUACCGUAUACGUCCUUCGGGAGAAAGAUUUAUCGGAGAUGGAUGAGCCCGGGUUGGAUUAGCUAGUUGGUGGGGUAAAGGCCUACCAAGGCGACGAUCCAUAGCUGGUCUGAAAGGAAGAUCAGCCACCCCUGGACGGAGACAGCGCCCAGACUCCUACGGGGGACAGCAGUGGGGAAUACUGGACAAUGGGCGCAAGCCUGAUCCAGCCAUGCCGCGUGAGUGAUGAAGGCCCUAGGGUUGUAAAGCUCUUUCACCGGUGAAGAUAAUGACGGUAACCGGAGAAGAAGCCCCGGCUAACUUCGUGCCAGCCGCCGCCGUAACAC
rnacentral:rRNA from 1 species